ACGCUCGACACCUACGGUAGGCAGCAGUGGGGAAUAUUGCACAAUGGGGGAAACCCUGAUGCAGCGACGCCGCGUGAAGGAAGAAGUAUUUCGGUAUGUAAACUUCUAUCAGCAGGGAAGAAAAUGACGGUACCUGAGUAAGAAGCACCGGCUAAAUACGUGCAAGCAGCCGCGGUAAUCUGAGCGGGCUGGCAAGGC
rnacentral:rRNA from 1 species